GUCGAUUAUGAUGAUUUUGAUACAAAAAGUAGGAGGCAUGAUUUAGGUAAACUCAGACCGACUGUGAGCAUUAUUUAUCUAACAAUUCGCUUAUCACAUUUCUGUGGUUGCUAUUUAUGAAGCAUUUCAGUCGUUUUUUGAACAUAUUAGUGCUCUUCAGAAAUUUAAUCUCUUCCGGAAUGUGAUUAUAGCAUUUUGGUGCAAGUUAUGAACAGGGAGUUGGUUGGAGUGUUUUGAAGUAUGAUAUUUGAUACUUGUGAUGAAGAAGUAUAACUGCCUCAGGUCUAAGAUCUGUGAUUCAUAAUAAAGUUUGUCAGAAGGAUAUCUGAGGUUUUUAGAGUAUUUCAGCCUUAUGAAUCUCCUCUGUAUCACUUCUAAUUGGUUUAUGUGCGUCCUUAGAGCUCCACCCCAUGCUAGAAUCCCGUAGCGUAGAUGGCUUUCUACUAAUGCAUGGUAUAACAUUCUCAUCAGGCCCACAGGUAGUAUGACAAAUUUUUCAGUGGUGCUUUCUAUUUUCAAUUCUUGGAAAUCGGGAAGUCCAGGUGAGCUGCAGCUAAACG
rnacentral:lncRNA from 1 species